CAACCGCUCCAAACAAUCGCGCGAUAUCAUACCGAAAGGUCAUUUCGUGAGGAAAGUCCGGGCUCCGCAGAGCAGGAUAACAGUUAACGACUGCCGAAGGCGACUUCAGGGCAAGUGCAACAGAGAUAUACCGCCGCAAAUUAUUUUGCGGUAAGGAUGGAAAGGCGAGGUAAGAGCUCACCGGCGUACAGGCGACUGUGCGGCCAUGUAAACCCUAUCCGGAGCAACACCGCAAGAGAGCGUUUAAUGUCUGCUCGACAGCUCUCAC
rfam:Clostridiales bacterium GWF2_36_10 gwf2_scaffold_4380, whole genome shotgun sequence.